GUGUGUGUGUGACAGCUGUAAGUGCAAAACAGAGAAACACACACACCCAGGCAGGAGCACGGGCUCUCCUCCUCGCGUAUGGGUACAGUGCCGCCACCGCCGCCAUGCGCGGCCGUGCGGAGCGGAUGCCGUGAUGGCGAGGCGGCCCUACCACUGGCGGCGCUCCCCCCGGGCCAGGCCCACCCCCCGCACCACCAGCUCGAUCUCCUAUUUCCUUCCCAAUGUCCAGCACAGCCCGCCCUCCUCUCUGGCUUCUGGCAUGGAAAACCUCCCUCUCCGACUUUCGGCCUCUCCCCGACCUCUGGCCGGUGCUGCAGGAGGUACACAACACCCACCUCCAUGCCAUUGCAACUUCCAGCCGCGACGUCCAUCGCCUUCUCUAGAUUCAGCGGCUAUCUGCACAGCUGCACGCCAGCUGUUCGGUCAAUUGACCCAACAGACAGGAGCCUAGAGAAUGGAGAGCAAGAGGAGAUGUUGUCUUUGGCACCAUACUGAACUAUUGAGGCAGCAGGAAGAUGAGUGUAUCGUGCAAGAGGAGAUCCUGGCCGCCGUCCUGUGCCUCGGCGACCAGUACGAUCACGUCCUCACGUGCCUCCUCCUGGCUGAUCCGAUGCCAGCAACUGUCAUCUUCCCAAAAUUUAAAUGGACACUUGGAUGUUCUUAUUAUUUUUCUUCUGAAAUGAACAUAGCUGUGAAUUUUUUCUUGGGUGGAAUCAAAUUCUGAUGGAAUUUACAAUAUACUCUGUAUUGUUGUUUUUUAGGUCUUACACAUCUCGUGUACCCAGGGUCAUCCACACCCGUUUUGAACGUUCAUUAGAUGUUUAUCGGCUAGCUGGGGAGGCAUGAAUAAUCUUUAAAAGACCAUGUUUGUACUGUUAAACACAUGCUCCAGAAAUGCUAUACAUGUUCUCUUCUUUGUUCUUUUGGUGCAUGUGAGUUACAAGGCAACAUUGAGAACACAAAAGCCAGUAUGUUUGAGCUAUGGGCACAAGCUAGGGGCAGUACCUCCCGGCUGCCCCAGCACUUAAGGCGACUGUCCAAUUCCACUUUCAUCCAUGGAGGCUGUGGUUUAGUUCUCAGUUUUUUGGCUUAUCGUUGUGCCUCAAGUUUCCGACAUCGCGUGGCUGUACACCAAUGACUUUCGCCGAUAAUCCGUCUGCUCGUACUCGACCGUUCACCGGAACUUUGUGUGACCUGAGGUACACCACAUGUACUCAUUACAAGAUGAUCUUCAGGAAAGACAAUAAUUACAAGUAGCGAUCAAAGGAGAUAAAGCUAGCUAAAUUUUUAUCUAGGAAGAACAACUGCUGUAUGACAGAAAAAUAUAAGAAAAGAUAAACUAAUAUCAUGGUGAUGGCAUUACUUGACUAUUUUGGAAGUAGCAAUCAAAGGUGAUAAUGGUAGCUAAUUUUUUAUAUAGGAAGAACAGCUGUUGUGACAGAGAAACGAAAGCUAAAUAUAAAAGUAUAUACCUGUUUGUGUCUGUCAAUUUAAUUGUCAUGAGUAUUUCAAAUUCAUUCUUCUUACUUCUUCAGAUAAUACACUAUGUACUACUUUUGUUCAGGUAUAUACUACUUUUUAUCAUUUUUACUUUUUCUAACCGGAUGCAUGCAUGCUUGUCCUCAUAGGUUUCCCUUGGUUCAGUACUCAAUUUUUUUGGUGUAUACUUUCUCCUCAUCAGUGAAGUAUAUGUACGACAAGACAGAAAGAAACAUAUACUGCUGAUCGAUACUGAAAUAUCAUAUGGAAGAUAGCCCUCUCUUCUAUACCCCUUUGUGAAAAGUAGUAUACUAUCAUUUGAAAAGAAAGCACACCAUAUACUCCUUUCUGAUAAUGAGUAUACACUGAUCGUUAUUUCCAGUGUCAUAGGUAUAUACUCUGAGAAUAGUUGUAUAUAUCUGUUUUGAAAAUAUAGUAUGUAUAUACUCCUUGCAAACUACUCCAUAUCAUUUAAGCGUUUUUACAUAAGACUGUCCGUCUAGAUACAAUAACUAAUUAGUAUUUUAAUAACUUGAAUUGCAUGGCUUGAGCUCUGUGCUGGGGUCUUCUCUUAUGUAUGAGUGCACCAUGUGCGGAUUAAAUUUUUUGGGGUCUUCUAACUCUCUGGGACAAUUUGCAUCUUUAUUUGUGCUAAUUGGCAAGGUGCAUGAAUAAUGAUUUAUCUAGGGUUUUUGCUUAAUGGAAAGGCCUUUUCAGUUAAAAAAAACCCUACUGAUUUGAUCAACAGAGCAUGCCUCUGUUUUUAAAUAGCAGUAGUUCCUUUGACCUUCUCCUUAUUUAAUUGACUAUUUUGGUCUCAAGAUCCAAUAGCCUUGCUGUUAGUUAAUGCUCUAUUUAUAUUUUCUUCCAACAAAACAAAUGUAUGUUUACAGGAAAAAAGUCGCCAUUUCCAGCAAAAACAAUGGCCUGCUGUCGCCAGGUCGCAACAAAAGUUUUGGCCGGUCCCAUAAGAAAAAUAGUUCCAGCAAAAAAAGAUUGUUGUUGCGGUCACAGGUACUAUAUGGUUUCACUCUACGCCUCUGUAGUUAUUUGGCUGAAGAUGUGCAUUACUGUUGGCUGUGAUAAUACAUAUAGUAAGAUUGCAUGUUAUACCAGCUUAGCAGAACUUCACGGAAAUUUGCUAGAGGAGUUGCAACAGCCUUGAUCAAAUAUUAUUUUCAUUAUUCCUUCUUGGUUUUAGACAAUAACAGUAGAUAAUCUUCAUCGAAAUUUGCUAGAGAAGUUGCAACAGCUUUGAUCAAAUAUUAUUUUUAUUAUUCCUUCUUGGCUUUAGACAAUAAAGUAGAGAACCAAAAUCCUUCUACUGUAUGUGUACCUGUAAUAGAGAAAAGUCACUCUGUCUUUAUCAUGCCAAUAGGCCAAUGUGCCCAGAAAUUAGACAACAGGGGGAAUUAGCUAGUCACCGGCUCUGAAAGCAUAAAAAACAAUUCAGUAUUUAGGCGACUACUCAAUUUUGAAGAGCUACUUCUUCAAAAAAGAUAGAUACGUGAGCUUUUUCUAAACUGUAGGAUAUCAUAGUCUGCUCUGCUAGCUGUAAAUUGUAGGGGAUUAGUGUAGCUUAAUGCCGUUGUUGAACUGAGUUAGCAAGUAUAUGUUGCUUUUUGUUAGGAAAGUGAAAAAGAAACUCUUUGAUGUCGGGCCUAUCCCUGUGGUAGUGACAACUUUUUAAUUUACUCACAAGCGUCAAAUAUUUUGUGAUGAGAGAAGUUGGUGAGUACCUAAUAGGUUUGAGGCGUUAUUUUCAUUUGCUAUGCUCGACAACCAUGAAAAAGUUGGGAUUGCAGCAAUCAUGCUAAAUCUAUUCAAGUGUGUUAGUUUUACGCGGACGCGGCGAUUUGGUGCCCGAGCCCAGAUGCACCCGAAAUCGUCGGCGUCUGUUCGUGGCUUGGGAUACUCAAAAUUCGCUCUGACGCAUCUGACGCGGAGUGUGGGAAAAUGGGUGUGCAGUGGAAUACGGCAGCGAACAGUAGCGCAUUCGUGGGCACAGAACGUACGGGCGUCUGAGCCGUGGCUCAGAACUUGUACUGAUCCGUCUGGGAAACAUGUCGAGGGCUUCGGGACGGGGCGGUUUGACGAGCAAUGAGAUCGAGCGCUGGUGGGAGGUACCUCACGGUAAUGGCGGGCGCGGCGGAGCGGCGCUGGAUGCCGAUGGCAUGGAGUUCCUGCUGGAGCCAGGCUACCGGUGAGUUUCCCUCUGGAUUUUCGUGCUUCGAUGGAUUCCCCGCCGCAGCCGCUUAUUCUGUUGUGGUUCCCACUCAUGGAGGAGUUCGCGGACAGCUUGAAGCAGCCAAAUCCGGACACUCUAGGGUUCCUCCGUCCAUCCAUGGCCACUGGGCUGCAUCGCCGCCGACGCCGUCGCCACCGCCCCAUCGCCGUCGACCCUGACGCCACCGCUGCUCUCUAGAUCUCAGUCUCGCCGGCGCUCCUCUCUGCCUUGGGCCCCUGUACUGGACAGCUGCUCGCCGGUGUCGUCUUUCUCCUGUAUUGGUCGGCGGCAUCUCGUUCUCCUGUACUGGUCGGCAGCAUCUCGUUCUCCUGUACUGGUCGUCUGCACGAGAUCUCUAGUCCGGCAGCCUCCACCAGACACCACGGGCAUGUGCUACACUUCAGCCGACUCAUUCGGAGGUAUUGUUGUAUGUGAAUUGGAAAUCAGAAGUUGCGAAGCGCCAUCAAUGCUGCUUUGGAGCAUCGCCGCUACUCCUGCCAUGCCGGCGAUUUGCAACAUGGCGGAUUUUGUGGUGACAGAUGCAGCAGAGAUGCCGUGGUGCCCCUCUGCUUUUCAACAUGUCGCAUGUUGCGCCAGGGUGCGGUGGUGGUGGUAGGUGCCGCCCUCCAGGAUGCAUCACUCCUCGCAGGAAUGGCUUACAGCGGUCGUUGCCGUGGCCCUGCUUUGCAGCAUCAGUGGUGGUCGUGCUGGCUGGCAGAAUCGCGGUGGGCGAUGUCUGUGUGCGGGCCCACCAGGCAUGUGGCAAUUGCACGCGGCACUUGAUUCUACAUUAAAAAUUACUCCCUCCAUCCCGAAAAACAUGUCGUAGCGCUGUUUUUACAAUUUAUCCCUUGUUGUUUUCCUGACCAAACCCGCGGUCCUCUCUCUCCUUCCCCACUCUUCUUCGACGCCAGCUGAUUUGGUCGUGCCCGCCCCCCCCCCCGGCCCCCCCGCCUUUCUCCCCCCCCCCCCCCCCCCCCCCCCCCCCCCCCCCCCCGCACCCCAUGCCUGCGCCUCGUUUCCCUCCCCUUCGCCCGCCGCAUCGUUCCCCUCUGCUACCACCCUUCAAGGUUCAAUUUUUGGAGACCACUGUCCGGAGUCGACCAACUCCUCGACUUGGACCACGAAGCUCGCCCCCUCCAUGGACGCCAUUGACCUGAGCACUAGAAAGCACGGGUGCACCUUCUCCACUCCACGGACGGCUACGCGCUUAAGGUGGAGGAGCUCACCGUGUUCAAAAAGGUGGAGGAGCUCACCGCCGAACUCGCCGGAGUGGUGCUCGCCGUCGCCCCCGCGCAUCCGGGCCCGUCGCCGCCGCCGCCGCCAAAGACCACCUCUUCAAGGGGUCGCAGGACCACCCGGGCCUGGUCACCAUCUCCAUGGAGGAGAUCCUGCAGUUCGCGGCGUCCAUUGGUGGCGCCAUCAGGACACCCACGUUGUCACACCCUCGAUGCGACUAGCUCCCACGUGUCGAGGCACGACUUAGAGGCAUAAUCGCAUUGAAGGCAUAUGUCGCAAGUUAGGCAAUCU